UACGAAGGGAGCUAGCGUUGCUCGGAAUCACUGGGCGUAAAGGUGCGUAGGUGGAUUUUUAAGUCAGGGGUGAAAUCCUGGAGCUCAACUCCAGAACUGCCUUUGAUACUGGGAAUCUUGAGUUCGGGAGAGGUGAGUGGAACUGCGAGUGUAGAGGUGAAAUUCGUAGAUAUUCGCAAGAACACCAGUGGCGAAGGCGGCUCACUGGCCCGAUACUG
rnacentral:rRNA from 1 species